UGAUUUGAAGUUGUAUCUAAUGUGGUUAAUGAUAUAUUCCUACCCCGUGUCCACAACUGACAUUUUCGGCUAAGUUUUCUUCUCCAUUCUUAGUAACAGGUUAGCAAAAAAAACAUAUUUUAAUUUUAUUUUAGAUUUAGUAUAUAGUGAUGUGAGGUUCAAUUUAUUUGCUUCCUUGGGUUAUAAAUUAAAAGAAUAAUCUUUAUUGGUAAAUGCUAUUUUAACCAAGUUUUGUCUCCGAAAGAUUCUAUAGAACAAUGUUGAAUUUCCUCCAGAGGAGAAGGUCAAUAUUUGGUUUUUUUGUUAUUGUUCUUUAGUAUUGUAUGUAAAGCUACCACAAUGUUUUCAAAUGGUAUUCAAAGAUCUUUCUGCAAAAUGUACUCUUCAAGGAAAUAAUAGAUAAAAUAAACUUUAUUUGACCCGUACAAUGGAUUUAGCUGUUUGAAGUCAAUUGCUGACAUUUUUUUCUCAUUUUCAUCGUAAUUGAUGUUGAUGACAUUUAGUCCUUUACAGGUUGGGAACACAAAACAUUAGCAGGUUCCAUCAUCAAUGAAUUGAAGGAAAGAAGACUCAAGAUGAUUUUGAACUAACCCUCUUGCCCUAAAUCCCUAAUUUCCCAUGUAUAGGUAAACCGUAUAUUGAUUUCACAUACAAAUCUUAUGCCAUCUUCUUGAAUUUAUUUUUAUUGUUGCUCUUAAUUUUUUAUUUUUGUAGAUAAAUUUACUUGUUGAGUUACAAAAAAGAACUAGGGUUUAAUCAAAACAAUUAAACGCACUUUUGGUUUUUCAAUAUGGAAAUCACAUCGAGACAUGUCUCUUAAAUUGAGGUUUCUUUCUCUAUGUCAGUGUGUUGUUUUAGGGAGAGAGAUAAUUUGAGGUUUGAGUAAUGUGAUCCAUGGUUCUAACAACCAUAGAUAAAUAUUUUCACCUAAGUUAAACUAACAUUCAUUCAAUUAAGAAACCUAACAACUAAAAUUUGAUUUUCAACAAGAGAUAGAUUUUAGGUUGUUAGACGCAUCAGAUAACAACAAUUGCCUUCCCCCUCACGCCUACAUCUGGUUGUAAGUUGUCUUCUUUCAUGCUUAACCUCCCCUCAUCCUUUACUGAGCAUAACAUGACACUCUGGUUCCAAAAGCAAAUGGUACGGCAUACCUCUUGUAUUUGUUAUAUUACCGUUUCCUAACCUUUUCAAAACUUUUUAUAUCUAUUUUACCAUGAGAUUUGUAAUAUUUUAAUCCAUUAAUUUUUUAGUUCAGAUGUAAUAUGUUGUCAAAUUUUCAGAUAGAGGAAGGAAACUGAUGGUGAUACAAGUAUUUGGGAAGCUCAAAAUUUUUACUUUAUUAACCAGGGUAUCUACUAAGCAGUACAACCUGAAUCUUUGUAGGUUGUGCUUGAAGGUAAUACCUCUUUAUUAUUUUUAUUUUUUUGCAUUAAAUAUCUGAAAUAGUAAAUAAGGAAAAGUCCAAUACAUUUGCAUUUUCAUUGUAAUUUGUUUGUAAUGGCAGUCGUUCAAAUGGAGAUAUUCCCCGCUAGCAAACUAUUGAAUAUUUUCCAUAUAAUGUGAACUCAUAGUAAAGUCUUCCUGACAGUUUAGCAUAGAAAGUUCACAAGUCAAUGAUUUAAAGAGCAUUAAGAAACUUGGAAUUCUUCCCCAUGACAUUUUAAAAUAAGUCCAUUUUUUCCUUUCAUGAUGCAUGGAUGUUGAAUGUUUAUAUAGUGUUUUGCCUCUCAAGAGAAUUAGCAUCUAUUGAUUUUUUUUUUCAUUUUUGACCUUAUUAAUAUUUUUAUCUGUUGAUAUUACCCAUUUUUUUUUAAACCUACAAUAUAGCUGAACGAAAAGGAGACAUUCUGGCAAUUGGUGUCGCAAAAAAAGAGAUAUAAAUGAUAGAAUUCAAACUACCAAAAUGUUGUCCUAUAAGAAGCUUGAUUUUCAGAUGGAUGAUUUAUUAAUAGGAAAAUAUACUGGGGAAUGUUAGACACAUAUAUCACCACACCGAAUAACAAAAUAAAGAUGAAAAACAUUAAAUAAAUAUUAUUAACAACACAAAAAUGUAAUAGAAUUUCUAUAAAUCAUUCUCAAUUUUUGCAUUUUUUUUUGUUGUUGAAGCGUUGUAUUUAGCCAAAACGUUGUUAUAGUUACAUAUGAUUUCCAAAGUAUAAUGUUUGUGUGUGAAUAAGCCUAUGUGUUUAUUAUUAUAGCAUUGUACUUUGCGUUUCGUUUAUGUUGUAGCAAAGUACUUUUCUAACUGUUAUAUGAUCAGUUUUUUUUGGGUACUUUGCAGGUGAAUUUGCUAAAAGCAACGUUAAAUGUGGGCUUCUCUCCCAUAUGUCUAAAUGAACAAAUUUUAACACAUUUGAAAC
rnacentral:lncRNA from 1 species